GGCGUGGCGUGGUGGUUGGGUGUUAUGUCUUGUACACGGGAGGUCGUGGGUUCGAAACCCAGCGGAAACA